GUCGAGCGGUAGCAGGGAGAAAGCUUGCUUUCUCCGCUGACGAGCGGCGGACGGGUGAGUAAUGUCUGGGGAUCUGCCUGAUGGAGGGGGAUAACUACUGGAAACGGUAGCUAAUACCGCAUAACGUCGCAAGACCAAAGUGGGGGACCUUCGGGCCUCAUGCCAUCAGAUGAACCCAGAUGGGAUUAGCUAGUAGGUGGGGUAAUGGCUCACCUAGGCGACGAUCCCUAGCUGGUCUGAGAGGAUGACCAGCCACACUGGAACUGAGACACGGUCCAGACUCCUACGGGAGGCAGCAGUGGGGAAUAUUGCACAAUGGGCGCAAGCCUGAUGCAGCCAUGCCGCGUGUAUGAAGAAGGCCUUCGGGUUGUAAAGUACUUUCAGUAGGGAGGAAGGUGUGAACGUUAAUAGCGCUCACAAUUGACGUUACCUACAGAAGAAGCACCGGCUAACUCCGUGCCAGCAGA
rnacentral:rRNA from 1 species